rnacentral:misc_RNA from 1 species
UUUAUUUUUUAUUUUUUAAAUUUUCUCAUUUUAUUGUAUGUUAUUUUAUUUAUUGCUUUUAGUGUUUGAUUGUUGAAGCAAAUUGUAUUGACUCCGGUUAAGCUCAGUAUCUGUAAAAUUUUUAGGUGAUUUCUUUUGAUUUGUUAGUUCUUUUGUUUGGUAACAUGAUAGUUUUAUUUAUUUUAUUUUUUAUAUUAAAUCUAGUUCAGUGUUUAGGGUAUUACUCAAGCUUUGAGAAUUUUCUUAUUUGUUGGACCAGCGAAGAAAUAUUAGUUUUUGUCUGGGGUUUUCUUGCUUAAUUCUGGUUAGGAGUUUUAUUUUGUCUGUGGAUGUGAAUGGAACCUAAAAUAGAAACUAUUCUAGUAACUGUUCGUUUGGUAUGCACAUCAAUUCAAUAAUGUCUUUGUAUGAGGUUGAUAUAGUAUGGGAUGAACUUUUAGUUGAAUUUGGUUCAUGAUCUACUGAGUAUGUUUUGGAUCUUGCAAAUUUAUUCGUUUACUCGUUAUGUUUAAAUCUUUGUGCAAUGAAGUUCGGGGCAACCCCAGAUGAUGGG